rnacentral:sRNA from 1 species
ACAGAACGAAUGCAUUCGAUUUGAUGAC